rnacentral:rRNA from 1 species
GUUAUCUGCCUUUGGGUGGGGGAUAGCCCAUGGAAACAUGGGGUAAUACCGCAUAAAGCCCUUCGGGGUUAAAGGAGCAAUUGUUCCGCCUGGAGAUGAGCCUGCGGUCCAUUAACUAGUUGGUGUGGUAAAGGCGCACCAAGGCGACGAUGGAUAGCCGGCCUGAGAGGGUGAACGGCCACACUGGGACUGAGACACGGCCCAGACUCCUACGGGAGGCAGCAACUAAGAAUCUUCCGCAAUGGGGGCAACCCUGACGGAGCGACGCCGCGUGGACGAUGAAGGCCGGAAGGUUGUAAAGUCCUUUUCUUCACGAAGAAUAAUGCUGGGAGUGGAAUGCCCGGCGGAUGACGUUAGCGGAGGAAUAAGCCCCGGCCAAUUACGUGCCAGCAGCCGCGGUAACACGUAUGGGGCGAGCGUUGUUCGGAAUUAUUGGGCGUAAAGGGCGUGUAGGCGGCCUGUUAAGCUUGGUGUUAAAGGUCUCGGCUCAACCGGGAUUUGGCGCUGGGAACUGGCGGGCUAGAGUUCUGGAGGGGGAGCUGGAAUUCCAAGUGUAGGGGUGAAAUCUGUAGAUAUCUGGAAGAACACCGGUGGCGAAGGCGAGCUCCUGGCCAUGGACUGACGCUGAGGCGCGAAAGCGUGGGGAGCGAACAGGAUUAGAUACCCUGGUAGUCCACGCUGUAAACGAUGUGCACUGGGCGUAGGGGGCAUUGGGUCCUCUGUGCCGUAGCUAACGCGUUAAGUGCACCGCCUGGGGAGUAUGCCCGCAAGGGUGAAACUCAAAGGAAUUGACGGGGGCCCGCACAAGCGGUGGAGCAUGUGGUUUAAUUCGAUGAUACGCGAGGAGCCUUACCGGGGUUUGACAUGCACAGGGAUGUCUUGGAGACAAGGCAGUCCCUUCUGGGGACCUGUGCACAGGUGCUGCAUGGCGGUCGUCAACUCGUGUCGUGAGAUGUUGGGUUAAGUCCCCCAACGAGCGCAACC